rnacentral:rRNA from 1 species
GACGAACGCUGGCGGCAUGCUUAACACAUGCAAGUCGAACGGAAAGGCCCUGCUUGCAGGGUACUCGAGUGGCGAACGGGUGAGUAACACGUGGGUGAUCUGCCCUGCACUUCGGGAUAAGCCUGGGAAACUGGGUCUAAUACCGGAUAGGAGCCAUUUUUAGUGUGAUGGUUGGAGAGUUUUUUCGGUGUAGGAUGAGCUCGCGGCCUAUCAGCUUGUUGGUGGGGUAAUGGCCUACCAAGGCGGCGACGGGUAGCCGGCCUGAGAGGGUGGACGGCCACAGUGGGACUGGGAUACGGCCCAGACUCCGACGGGAGGCAGAAGUGGGGAAUAUUGCACAAUGGGCGCAAGCCUGAUGCAGCGACGCCGCGUGGGGGAUGACGGCCUUCGGGUUGUAAACUCCUUUCGCUAGGGACGAAGCUGUUUGUGACGGUACCUAGAUAAGAAGCACCGGCUAACUACGUG